GAUGAACGCUAGCGGCAGGCCUAACACAUGCAAGUCGAGGGGUAUAUUGUGCUUGCACGAUAGAGACCGGCGCACGGGUGCGUAACGCGUAUGCAAUCUACCUUGUACAGGGGAAUAGCCCAGGGAAACUUGGAUUAAUGCCCCAUAGUCUAUAAUGAUAGCAUUUGAAUUAUAGUAAAGAUUUAUCGGUACAAGAUGAGCAUGCGUACCAUUAGCUAGUUGGUGUGGUAACGGCACACCAAGGCAACGAUGGUUAGGGGCCCUGAGAGGGGGAUCCCCCACACUGGUACUGAGACACGGACCAGACUCCUACGGGAGGCAGCAGUGGGGAAUUUUGGACAAUGGGCGCAAGCCUGAUCCAGCAAUGCCGCGUGAGUGAAGAAGGCCUUCGGGUUGUAAAGCUCUUUCAGUCGAGAAGAAAAGGCUGCAGUGAAUAACUGUAGUUUAUGACGGUAUCGGCAGAAGAAGCACCGGCUAACUACGUGCCAGCAGCCGCGGUAAUUCGUAGGGUGCGAG
rnacentral:rRNA from 1 species